CUGAGCCAAGAACUAAUGGAAAAAUAUGAAGAACUGAAGAGGAUGGAAGCACAUAACAAUGAAUACAAAGCAGAGAUUAAGAAGUUGAAAGAACAGAUUUUACAGGGUGAACAAAGUUACAGUUCUGCACUAGAAGGAAUGAAGAUGGAAAUCUCCCAUCUAACUCAGGAGUUACAUCAGCGAGAUAUCACUAUUGCUUCCACCAAAGGUUCUUCCUCAGACAUGGAAAAGCGACUCAGAGCAGAGAUGCAAAAGGCAGAAGACAAAGCAGUAGAGCAUAAGGAGAUUUUGGAUCAGCUGGAGUCACUCAAAUUAGAAAAUCGUCAUCUUUCUGAAAUGGUGAUGAAAUUGGAAUUGGGUUUACAUGAGGUACAUAAAUAGAAACUUAAGUUUUUCUACUAUCCAAGCCUUCAAAAAAAUUACUUUGUAAAUAUUUACAUUAUAAAGAGAGAAUUAAGAUCAACUUAGAUCCUUUUGCAGAAAUUUUCUCAAAGAAAAUGAAGGUAAAACAAUACUGGAAGUGAGCAAAAUAUGACUCUCCACUCCAGCAGCAGGAAGGGUUUUUGUUUUUUUGUUUGUUUUUUUGAGACGGGGUUUCACUCUUGUUACCCAGGCUGGAGUGCAAUGGCGUGAUCUUGGCUCACCACAGCCUCCACCUCCCGGGUUCAAAUGAUGCUCCUGCCUCAGCCUCCUGAGUACCUGGGAUCACAGGCAUGCGCCACCACACCUGGCUGAUUUUGUAUUUUCAGUAGAGACAGGGUUUCUCCAUGUUGGUCAGGCUGGUCUCGAACUCCCAACCUCAGGUGAUCUGCCCGCCUCAGCCUCCCAAAGUGCUGGGAUUACAGGCAUGAGCCACCGUGCUCGGCCAGGAAGGUAUUUUUUUAUAUUAUGUAUGUGAUAAAAUUUACCUACAGUCUGUGUUCUUAGUUGGAAGAAUGUAUAUGAAGGACUUAGCAUAGUACAUAGUACCUGGCACUUAGUAAGUAUGCAAUACGUCCUAGAUGGUGGUAUUAUUAUUAUUAUUAUUGUUAAUGAUUAUUAUGUUUGUUAUCUUUUUAGAAAGUAUAUUGUCUUUAAAAUAAUUUAAUUUUAAUUUUAUUUCUACAAGAUAUUCACAUAAUAAAAUAUUUUAGAAUCUUUUAUAUUCAAGGACUUUUAGUAGGUGCUAUAAUGAACACAGGCUGAAUAAGAUAGCAUUCUUGCCUUUAAGAGAGAUUUUGGAUUAGCUGCAAUUACUCAAAUUACUCUAGCCUUUAAGAGACUAGAGUAAUCUAGUAGCAAGGAUAAGAAAUGCAUACAAGCUUCUGUGAAACCAGAGAGAACAUGAUUAGCCAACAGUGAAUUACAGUAUAGAUGCUCUUUUAACUGUUUUGUUACAAAAUUCCUAUAAUUUGCAGAAUGACUCAUCUAUUCUGACCCAUCUUUUCUUGGUGUAGGUCAGAUGUCUGAAAAUUGUAUAAAUGCUUUUUUCCUGCAUUUCCAGAGAGUAUUCCUCCAAAAAGAUAUAUGGUUCCAACAUGCUCCCUGUUUGCUCUGAAAAAUUCUAAUUUCACAAUCCAGGAUUGUGGAUACUGGGGUGGAAGAACAUGCAAAAGACUAUUAUAGAGUACCUUAUUUCAACUGGAAAAAUGGGGGACUAUUUUUGUAAUCUUUCAGAAGGGUAAGAUUCUCCAAACAUCAUGACGCCAUAGAGGAUUUUACAACAUAAAAAUGUGAAGUUUCUGGAUGGUAAAAGGCCCUAUUAAAAAAGACUAAUAGGGAGAAAAUAGUUUAUAAUCAGACAAAAGGUUAAUGUAAAUUAUUAAUAUAUAAAAAUUCCCUACAAAGAUAAUAAGGAAAAGAUAAUCCAGUAGAAAAAUAGGCAAAGAAUGUAGACAGAUACCUCACAGAAUUAAUAUAAAUAUCUAGU
rnacentral:sRNA from 1 species